rnacentral:ncRNA from 1 species
UAACAAUAAAUGAACGACCCUCAUAUAUGUUCGAAGAUAUGGUUCGAAUGUUUCUACCAAACUACCGUAAACAGUUUGACUAUGAAGGCAAUUUAGACGAUG